rnacentral:rRNA from 1 species
GUGAACUCGAAGAGUAGGGCGGGACACGUGGUAUCCUGUCUGAAUAUGGGGGGACCAUCCUCCAAGGCUAAAUACUCCUGACUGACCGAUAGUGAACCAGUACCGUGAGGGAAAGGCGAAAAGAACCCCGGCGAGGGGAGUGAAAAAGAACCUGAAACCGUGUACGUACAAGCAGUAGGAGCCUCUUUAUGGGGUGACUGCGUACCUUUUGUAUAAUGGGUCAGCGACUUAUAUUCUGUAGCAAGGUUAACCGUAUAGGGGAGCCGCAGGGAAACCGAGUCUUAACUGGGCGUUAAGUUGCAGGGUAUAGACCCGAAACCCGGUGAUCUAGCCAUGGGCAGGUUGAAGGUUGGGUAACACUAACUGGAGGACCGAACCGACUAAUGUUGAAAAAUUAGCGGAUGACUUGUGGCUGGGGGUGAAAGGCCAAUCAAACCGGGAGAUAGCUGGUUCUCCCCGAAAGCUAUUUAGGUAGCGCCUCGUGAACUCAUCUUCGGGGGUAGAGCACUGUUUCGGCUAGGGGGUCAUCCCGACUUACCAACCCGAUGCAAACUACGAAUACCGAAGAAUGUUAUCACGGGAGACACACGGCGGGUGCUAACGUCCGUCGUGAAGAGGGAAACAACCCAGACCGCCAGCUAAGGUCCCAAAGUCAUGGUUAAGUGGGAAACGAUGUGGGAAGGCCCAGACAGCCAGGAUGUUGGCUUAGAAGCAGCCAUCAUUUAAAGAAAGCGUAAUAGCUCACUGGUCGAGUCGGCCUGCGCGGAAGAUGUAACGGGGCUAAACCAUGCACCGAAGCUGCGGCAGCGACACUAUGUGUUGUUGGGUAGGGGAGCGUUCUGUAAGCCGUUGAAGGUGGCCUGUGAGGGUUGCUGGAGGUAUCAGAAGUGCGAAUGCUGACAUAAGUAACGAUAAUGCGGGUGAAAAACCCGCACGCCGGAAGACCAAGGGUUCCUGUCCAACGUUAAUCGGGGCAGGGUGAGUCGACCCCUAAGGCGAGGCCGAAAGGCGUAGUCGAUGGGAAACAGGUUAAUAUUCCUGUACUCGGUGUUACUGCGAAGGGGGGACGGAGAAGGCUAUGUUGGCCGGGCGACGGUUGUCCCGGUUUAAGCAUGUAGGCGGAUGUUCCAGGUAAAUCCGGAACGUUAUCAACGCUGAGGUGUGAUGACGAGGCACUACGGUGCUGAAGUGACAAAUGCCCUGCUUCCAGGAAAAGCCUCUAAGCAUCAGGUAACAUCAAAUCGUACCCCAAACCGACACAGGUGGUCAGGUAGAGAAUACCAAGGCGCUUGAGAGAACUCGGGUGAAGGAACUAGGCAAAAUGGUGCCGUAACUUCGGGAGAAGGCACGCUGAUAUGUAGGUGAAGUGGUUUACCCAUGGAGCUGAAAUCAGUCGAAGAUACCAGCUGGCUGCAACUGUUUAUUAAAAACACAGCACUGUGCAAACACGAAAGUGGACGUAUACGGUGUGACGCCUGCCCGGUGCCGGAAGGUUAAUUGAUGGGGUUAUCCGUAAGGAGAAGCUCUUGAUCGAAGCCCCGGUAAACGGCGGCCGUAACUAUAACGGUCCUAAGGUAGCGAAAUUCCUUGUCGGGUAAGUUCCGACCUGCACGAAUGGCGUAAUGAUGGCCAGGCUGUCUCCACCCGAGACUCAGUGAAAUUGAACUCGCUGUGAAGAUGCAGUGUACCCGCGGCAAGACGGAAAGACCCCGUGAACCUUUACUAUAGCUUGACACUGAACACUGGUCCUUGAUGUGUAGGAUAGGUGGGAGGCUUUGAAG